rnacentral:rRNA from 1 species
GACGUAGGGCGCGAGCGUUGUCCGGAUUUAUUGGGCGUAAAGAGCGCGCAGGCGGUCGAUCAAGUCGAGUGUGAAAGCCCCCGGCUCAACUGGGGAGGGUCAUUCGAUACUGAUCGACUCGAAGGCAGGAGAGGGUAGUGGAAUUCCCGGUGUAGUGGUGAAAUGCGUAGAUAUCGGGAGGAACACCAGUGGCGAAGGCGACUACCUGGCCUGUUCUUGACGCUGAGGCGCGAAAGCUAGGGGAGCAAACGGG